ensembl:lncRNA
AGUCAGUGUAUGACAUGACAUCAAAGCAACGAGAGAUCAAUGAGAUGUCGUGCCUCGCGGUAUACCAAAGCGCACUUGUGGGAGAGGUGUCUGGCUGAUGCUAAUAAUUAUGUCAGGAAAAAAGUCCAAAGUUUAUCUACAGAAGCUGCGCCAGAAAGUGAUCAUGACAGCAUUAGCCCUGCAGAGGAGGGUGAGCCUGAACCGAAAAAGGAAAAGCAGGCCGAGAUAUCCAUGCUGAUGGCCAUUGAUGAGGAGGAGCAUGCAGAAGAGAAGGAUGAACUAAAAAUGUACUUGGCAGAUAAAACAAAGGUUGAUUCGGGACCAUCGGCAUGGUUGCAAAAAAAUGAACAUCGAUAUCCAAAGCUCGCUAAAGCAGCUAAACGCCUCCACUGUAUCCCUUCCACAUCCACUCCAUCAGAGCGCAUCUUUUCAAAGGCCGGCUUCAUUGUGAACAAGUCGAGAAGCUCCCUUCUUCCCAACAAUGUGGACAAGCUGGUGUUCCUCUCACAUAAUAUGAAAAAAAUAAAAUCGAAUUGAAAGCUUAGGUCAAGACUCAUCCAUCGUCUUAAUGGCAGUUUGCGGCUUUGCUCUGAUAUUUUUGAUUUGUAUUAGUGUUCUUUAAAUUAUUUGUUCCACAUUUUGUCUUAAAUAUAGUUGUUCUAAACAAUUUAAUCAAAUACUUAGGCUGUUGAUUUGUUUGCCGCCUUCUUUUUUAUUCUAAGUUUUGGCGUUGUGCGAUGUGCCAUGUGCAUUUAUUAAAUUGUUCGUUUUUGUUAAUUUUCCUUUUGAACAAUAUAAAAAUAAUAUUAAUUUUCCACUGUAUUUUACUAUUUUUAUACCAAACAGCUUUUUUGCUACAGUAUUUAUUUGUUUUAGUUUUUUGCCUUGUUUUGUACUAGGCCUAAGUUACUAAUAAGUUUAUUUAAUUUAUUUUAAAGAACGAAUUUUAGUUUAUUUUAUUCAAAACUGUUUUUGACAUGUAACUGUUACAGUUUGUAUUUUUGAUAAUAAAUUAUUAAAAUGCACAGGCAGUCUGAUUGCUGUUUUUAUGUUAUAAUUAGCCUAUAACGUUCCGGCCACUGAUUUUUGUG